rnacentral:lncRNA from 1 species
GGCGUGUUUGCCAUAGCCAAUGACUUAACACGCCCAUCUCUGGCCACACCCCUCUCAUUUCUCUGCUCUGCCUUUAAAUGCCACGGCUAACUUUUUGUCCCAGUCCAGACCUGCCCACAACCAACAUACUGCUGUAUGGAGGAGGGCAUAAAAUAAAACAAGCGUGGUUCGUCUAAUUCCCAUACCCUACGUGUGCCAUUUGCAGCAAUGCAGGUAAGACCACCAAUACAGCAUAAAUCCCUUAUUUUCAAGCCCUUGGCAACAAUUGUGUCCAUAAAGCCUCAGUAAAAAAGCCCCUACUUUCUCCUAAUCUCCCUAAUACACGAAUAUCACACACCGAGGCCAAGCACCCCCUGAGUCUAUUUCUCCUCCGAUUAUGUUACUCCUCCUGACUGGAAGAAUGUCCAGGAUGAUGCAUUAAAGAUACUGCAAAUAAAUAGUCCAGUCAGGAGCAUCAUAUUCUGGUCCACCGGGACUAACCUUAUUACAUAAACUUCUGUAGAUAAACGUCCACAUAAACGUGAGCUGAUUUAUGGGAUAACCCACAGUUCGAGUCAUCACGUAGGAUGUUUAGACCUGCAUUAUAAACUGAUAGUAACAAUAACGUAACUGCUAUCAGUUUAUACACCCCCAAAAUCACUUUUUAGUGAACGAAUGGUACAAGGGAACCUGAUAGUAGGUCCUCUGCCUUUCUCAUUUAAUUCAUAUAUUGUAUUUGAUGCUGGUAGGUGACCUUUAAUGGCCAUUGCAGUGUUACUUAAACCUGUUUUAUAAAUGUGUAUAGGGAUUUGGGAUAGUACACAGGGAUUGUUUAUAUUUUUGUUAUAUUUAAAUCUACAUUUUACAGACAGCAACAUUAACCAGUAGGUGGCAGUAGAGGCUUAAUAAUGUUUAGACAACAGUCACUAUUUGCAUGAAGUACCCAUUCUGUGUUUUUCCUGACAUAAAUGUGUGUAAUUUUUUGGAGCAAUUUAGCAUGCAUAAUAUGAAACAGAUUAUAUAUACACUUUGGUCCAAAAUAAAUAUGCUUGAUGGGGUAAACAUAUUAGAAAUGAACCAAUGUAUCAAAAUAUGUCAUAUUUUUUUGUUAAUGAAUCUCUGCAAUGAGCAGAUUGUAUUGUUCUCAUGUGUUUACUAAUUAAAAGAUGAAGUAUUUUGCUUGAUUAACUUAAACAUUUGCAUCACAAAGAUAUAUUUGUCUUGUUAGUGACUUCUUAAUUCCAUUGUACUUAAUAAAAUAUUUCAGCAGCACAUAAUAACUGUUCACCACAUAAUUUAAAAUCAUAAUAAGUAAAAAGAACAUCAACAAGAGCUUAGUUUGAAAUGUUUAAAGUAUUCAGCAUCAAAUGUAAUAAUAUAUUGCUUAGCAAGAGAAAUUGUCUGGUUUACUCAGCAUUCCUAGAAUAGAUACACAAUGGUUGGUGAUCCAAAAAGCAUUGGAAGAAGAUAUUUUAUUUCUUCUUUUUUUGAAGAAUUAAAAAAAAAAAAAAAAAAAUGAUUUUUCUAUGUAUUUUGGAUUCCAGCAUGCUUAGAUUUAUUCUGUAUUUUACUUCUGUUCAAUUUAAUUUACAGCUGCUAAAUUUGAUGGGUGCUACUAUACGAAAUAUCAUCUGUUUGGCUCUUCAGAUGUUGAAUCCCCUUUAAUCCUCAGGUUGGCUGUUUAAAUAGAAAAACAGAGACUAUGAGAACGCUGAAAACAGGCAAAAGCUUAGAGAAACUCAGUAGGUUUCCCUUCGGUUAGCACCCGCUCAGAUCUCAAAAAUGUUUUUCCUGUUACAAAGAGAACCUUUACCAUUUGCAUAUCAGUCUUAUCCAACCCUUAAGGGCAGUGCAGAAAGGAAAUGCUGAAAGUUCUCUUUGCACAAGAAAUACAGCAACGCGGACGAUCAUUUUAGCCUUCUUUGGGCCUCGUCAGCGAGGUGUCGCUGACAAUCCUCUAAGCACAGGGUUCACAUCUGGAUUACCCAUUUAUCAUUGGAAAAGUCCAAGCAAAUGAAUUGCAACAAAAAGAGAGUAUGAUAACUCUGACAAUGGGCAAAAGCUCAGCGAAACUCAGCAGCUUGUCCUUCUGUUAAUCCCCGCUCAGCUCUCAAAUAUGUUUGUGCUCAAUUGUGCCAUUACAGAUAGAACCUAUACCAUUUACAUAUCAGACUGAUCUCACCCGUAAGGGCAGUUCAGAACCAAAAUGCCUUUUAGUAAGAGGUUCCAACUGAUCAGAAAAGUGGUGCGAAACUCUAAAAGUGGGCCAAUCACCAUGGAAAACAAAUGGAUCUUUCAUUCCUCUGUUUUCCAUUAUGACGGCUCCUUAUCUACAACUCAGCAUUACAUUUUGAUUACAAAUCAAUAUUAAUUUCCCCAUUAAAAAUGUAAAUGUCCCUUUUGUAACAGUAGCAAAAUGACCAUUUAGGUACAAAAUGUAUGAGAUAGAGUAUAGAAAAGCACAUAACAGGUACUAAGGUAUAAAAAGAAAGUGUAGUAAAAUUCUGCUUUUUUUACCUCCCUGAAAAGUUAGAUAUAAAGAAUGAGUAGGUUGUUGCAGAAGAAAGAAGGUUGUUGAAAAACCAAAUUGCCAAACCUUAUUAGAACAUUUGAUGGAUGCAAGCGGGGCUCUUAUGUCAUAAACCCAUUAAAAUUUGGGGAGAUGUGGGUGAUAUAACAUCUGUGCAAUGGCGUCCAGAAACAAUAAGCAACCCCCCCAAACAUAUGUUUGUGCAAGUAAUGCCUAGUGUGUAUGCCACUUUGUGUGUUCAAUGAAUAUGAACAUGUGUCAUUAAUGAGUGUGUGUUUAUUCUGCAGAUGUGCUAUACAUUUUUUCUUUCUCUCAUAGGUUUAAUUAAAAGGUUUAAAUCAAUAUCUGGGAUUUUUCAGACUAUUAUGUAGGUGUGUGUGCAUGAACGCACGCACGUGAUUAUGUAUGUAUUAUGCACACACACAAACAUGCCUAAUGAAAUACAUUUCCUCUCCAGGUGGCAUGUAACCUAUGUACACCAUUGCAUAAAUAUCACAUCAUAACAUAUGCUCUUUUAAACAAAGCAUUAAACCAUGAGUAUAACAAUUCUAGAUGUGAUAGAAAUAUAUUAUAUGAAUGCAACAAAUAAAUAAUGGAGUUACUAUUACUAUGCAGCUUAGUCAUUGUUAAAUUUGUAUAUUGCCAAUGUGUCUUUAUCUUCAAAAAUAAUAGAUAGAUUCAAAAUUCAUUCAGAAUUCAAUGCUCAGUCUAAGCCAUCUUUAAUUCCUUUAUAUAUAUAUAUUUUUUGCAUUGUGUGUGAAGUUCAUCUCCCUGGUCAAAAAAGAUGCUGUUGUUGAGCUAAAGUGGUGCCCAUUGGAACAGGCCUCAGUCACAAGGACACAUGUAGUACAAGAAGUGCAAGCUAUGGAAAAUAUAAAAGAGAAACCUCUUCUUUUUAGCAAACAAUAGACAAAUUUAAUUCCUAGCUGCUUUCUUUACAAGAGAAAAUGAAGGGAGGGGUGGAACCAGCCUUAACUCAGCAUUACCAGAAAAACUUUAAAGGGUCACCCCAGAACCCUCGAGAAUUUUAGUGUGCUGAACUGCAUUAUGUAUGAAGAGUAUGUAGUAUUUUUUAGUUUUACAAAAAGUGCAUAUUUCAUAUUUAGAAAUGGGCACUUUUAAAAAGUAAAGGAACACUAUAGCAUUAAGAAUACAAAUGUGUAUUUGUAACACUGUAGUUCCCUGGUAGCCAUUUAGAUAAUGGGGGGUGGGGGAGCAUGGCACCCAUCACACUUCAUUGAGAUGCCUAUAGUGGCCCUUUAACCUUGUUACACCCCAUGGCUUUUACGCAUACGACAGGUCCUGUUAUUUCCUGGUUGUUUUGCUCAGUGGAACUAAACUCGAGAGACAAGCAAUUGCCUUGUAAAGACUUCUCAUUGAGCUGCAUUGGAAGUCUUUGAUUGGACAGCCACAGAAUAUCUGUGCGAAGAAAGAAGGGAGGGUUUGCAAAGGUAGCAGUCAAAAGAACUGAAACUUUUGCAAGCUGUUUUUAAGACAUAGCCCCAUUUAAAAAAAAAAAAAAGCAUAAUUAAAUGCAUGAUUUUUUUUCAUUUGGGGUAUAUUUACUAAACUGUGAUUUUAUUUAUUUAUUUGGUAUUUUGACAUUGAAACAUCCUUUUUAGGAUCAUAGACAUCCUUUCCACUCUGGGAGAAAUGAUUUGAGAGCUUACAUAUUGUGUAUGAAAUUAUUUUUCACUUGGCAUGUGCAAUCAAGUCACCAUUUUGACAUGCUCUGUGUAACAAAGAUACAAGACCCGUGAUACAGAACCAUAGAUGGAUGUAACCACCAAAAAUGUUGGCCCCUCUCAGCUAAUCAAAAAGAGUGUUAAUUAUAUAUUAAGAGUUAUUUUAUCAGGAAGCAGGACACAGAUCCCAUCUGCCCACCAAGGAUGAGAACCACCCUCCCUGUUCAAAUUAAAUAUGAAAAAAGAGUAGCAAUCUGUCUUUGGAGAGCUGAUAUAGCUGGUCCAUACUAAAAGGGUUACAAUUUCACCCAAAGGAUUGCUGAACUUGAAAAAGUUCAAGCAAUCAUAGAAAAACACAAUGACAACAUGGCAGUGUUAAAGGACCACUAUAGUGCCAGGAAAACAUACUCAUUUUCCUGGCACUAUAGUGCCCUGAGGGUGCCCCCACCCUCUGGGACCCCCUCCCACCGGGCUGGAUGGAGAGGAAGGGGUUAAACUUACCUCUUUCUCCAGGGCCGGGCCGGGAGCUCUCCUCCUCCUCUCCUCCUCUUCGGCUGAAUGCGCAUGCGCGGCAAGAGCUGCGCACGCAUUCAGCCAAUCCAUAGGAAAGCAUUCAUGAUGCUUUCCUAUGGACGCUGGCUUCUUCUCACUGUGAUUUUCACAGUGAGAAGCGCGGAAGCACUCUAGCGGCUGUCAAUGAGACAGCCACUAGAGGCUGGAUUAACCCAUUUAUAAACAUAGCAGUUUCUCUGAAACUGCUAUGUUUAUAAAAAAAAGGGUUAACCUUAGCUGGACCUGGCACCCAGACCACUUCAUUAAGCUGAAGUGGUCUGGGUGCCAAUAGUGGUCCUUUAAGAGAAGACCUAAAGGUCAAACAAGAACAUCUAACAGAGUAGUUACACAGUUAUAUAGAAUGAAAAAAGAUUUGUGUGUAUCUAGUUCAACCUUUCUCACAUCUGUUUUUGCUGUUAUUCCAAGAGAAGGCAAAAACCCAGGUUGAAGAGUUUUCAAAUUCUGCAACAAAUUAGGAAGAAAAUCCUUCUCCACCCUUUAAUGGCAGUCAUAUAUCUCCUGAAUCAAGAAGCUAUUAGCUCACACAUUAAAAAUUAUAUCCCUGAAUAUUAUGUUUUUGCAAGAAUUCAACCAGUUGCUGUUUAAACAUAUGUGCAUACUCUGAUGAAACCACAUCUUUAGGCAGAAAACAUCCUUAUGGUUUUUAUUAUAAAGAACCGUUUCCUUUGUCUUAGACUAAAUCUCGUUUCUUCCAGUCUAAAUGUGUGAACUCAUGUCUUUUGAAUAGAUUACCAGACAAUGGUUUGUAUUGACCCUGAAGACAUUUGAAUAAUGCUAUCAUAUUCCCUCUUAGGUGCCAGUUUUCUAAACUACAAAAAUUUAAAUCUGUCAACCUUUCUUUAUGACUAAAAUCUUCCAUUUGGGUGGGGCGUGGCUAGCCACGGAGCAAGAUGGACGCAUGAAAACUUGCUCCGACACGAAGGCACCUAAUCUCAUGCAAUCCUGACCACCAGAGCUCCAUCUAACACGGCGGCAAAGCAAUGUCCCAUCACAAAAGUAAGAAGAGCUCGCUGAAAUCGGACAAGCUCAAUUUUUUCAGCCAGAAACAAAUUUCUGCGACUCUGGCUGCGCAGGCCUCAAACCCGGACGGGGACACCGAAUCUGAUAGCGGAGCACUCAGCUGUGACCUAACGCUACCUACAGACAACACUCAAAUCACAAAAGCGGAUCGUACAUCUGCCUUGGAAGCCUUUUCUAACAAAUUGAUUUCAUCUUGGCAACACAUGGCGGAUUCCAUGAGGAAAGACAUCCAGGAACUAGGCAGAAGGACGUCCCACAUGGAGGAUAAAUGCGACAAAUUCGCGACGGCCCACAACGACCUAGCCACAAAUGUGGAACAUAUAGCGGCCAGACUUGACACCCUGGAGGGGAAGCUAGCAGAUCUGAAAGAUCGAUCCCGCCGAAAUAACUUACGGCUGAGGGGCGUCCCAGAAGACAUUACCAGCGCGGACUUACCGGCAAAUGUACGAAACCUUCUACACGCUUACGCUCCUGAGAUACCGGCGGAUAUGUUGCUGGUUGACCGGGUUCACCGCAUUCCUAAACUCCGACACCUCCCACAAACGACGCCCAGAGAUGUAAUAUUGCAGGCACAUUAUUUUCAUGUAAAAGAACAUAUCCUCAGAGGCAGCAGGCUGAGAGCCAAACCACCUAUGGAAUAUUCCACGAUCAAAAUCUAUGCAGAUUUGUCGGCCGCAACGCUGAAAAAAACGGAAAGAAUUUCAUCAAAUUACUGCUACUUUAAGAACGAAUGGAAUGAAGUACAAAUGGGGAUUCCCCACUAAAUUAGUAGUUACCAAGGACGGGGCAACUACAGUUAUAACUACCCCAGAAGAAGGAUUGAAACAUCUACAGGCUUGGGACCUAAAAGUAGAACCAAAAUCUCACCCGCACUGCCAGCAGGGAAACUAAAUGCGGAUUGGAACAAAGCACAUGGGAAACACUGAGACCAGCUGGACUCUGGUAAGCAGAGAACGCGAUCCACACAUAAUCCAGCCCAGAAACAAGAUGUAUCGGCUGUCCUCCGGGGCCCUUGCUACAACGGAGGAUUGUCGCUGAUUGUCUAAUUGCUUAAUGUUACCAUGAUCAUUAGGGACUAUACAUGAUGUAUUACCCUUCCCAGAAACACACAUUAAAUCCGCGCAUAUAGACACAUAUAUAUACCCCGGGACACACAUAAAUCUGGACCAACAAGCUAACGUGACCCCAAAGAGGUUGCAGAACAAGGCAAGGUCAGGAGUCAGCUGAAUGCCCAGACUACUAUAAUACUAACAGGCUCAGGCUAACCACCACAGCUAGGCCAGUAACCACUGAGCCACGUAGACUGCGGCGCUUUACAAUAAAACGAGAGGUGCAUUCAGCCACAUUAAUGGAGGGAACAAUUUCCUAUAUUCCCCCAGAUGUGGUAUACCCACAUGACAUCUCUGAGAGACACCUUGUAUAUAGUUUUCUACCCCUUCCAAGUUUCUCCCCUUUAGCCCAACCCUGCCCUAAGUCGGUCAUGACCCCACAGAAGAAACACACAGCAAAGGCUUCUAUGUCGCCACUUCUUAACUCACACAAGAAACCACAUCAUUUAAGUAACCAGGCUUCAAGCAUACUCCACUGCCAAGACCCACUCGCCUAUUAUGGAGUAAAACACUGGUAUUUAUCUAUAGCCCACAUCAGCCAAUCAUACUGCCCUACUAAAAUAUGAAAUUACAAACCUUUAAUGCACACGGACUAAAUACUCCGCACAAAAGGAGACUUAUUGUGGAGGAGGCAAAAAAUAUGCAGUCAGACAUUUUAUGUGUACAGGAGACACACUUUGUUAAUAACAGGGUACCUAGUUUCGCUACUAGAGACUAUCCCACGCAAUACCACUCGACUUAUUCUUCCAAAUCAAGAGGCGUUUCUUUCUUCAUACACGCAACAGUAUCCUUCGAACUUUUACACAUCAAGAAAGACACGCAGGGCAGAUACCUUAUACUACAAUGUAAGCUCAAUAAUGUUCUAUACAAUUUGGUGGGAAUAUAUAGCCCAAAUGAUAAUCAAAGGAAUUUCCUGCAGAAGGUGUUAUCCAAACUCCCUACUGUUUUCCAGACAGCCACGAUUAUAUGUGGGGACUUAAACCAUAUAUUACAGGCCCGACUGGAUACCACAUUAUCAGAAUCGUCCCCCAGAUGCAAAACUCUGGGGAAGCAAGCCGCAAUCAUUAUGAAACUCCUCUCAGAAUAUAAUUUAUAUGAUAUUUGGCGAACACACCACCCAAAUGACCGUGAAUUUACAUUCUACUCCCCAGUACAUAAAACGUAUACCAGAAUAGAUUUCAUAUUCAUCUCGGGAGACUUACUAGUACAUAAAACAUAUACCAGAAUAGAUUUCAUAUUCAUCUCGGGAGACUUACUACCGAAAGCUAUGCACAGUGAGAUAGGGUAUAUAGUAUGGUCUGAUCAUGCCCCAGUACAACUAACCUUAAGGGAUACUUUCCCAUCACGAGGGAUGACACCAUGGCGUCUUAAUGAACAUCUUCUACUCAACUCAGACCUGAAAACCAAACUUACGGAGGAGAUAACCUCUUUCUUUACUUUAAAUGAUACUCCUGACGCAUCAUCGGCCACGCUAUGGCAGGCACAUAAAGCGGUCAUCAGAGGCCUGUUGAUCAGUCAAGCGUCAUACCUAAAUAAACAGUCGAAACAAGAGUACAUUACUCUUUUGAGGUCCCUAAGAGAUGAAACCUGUAACGGACCGUUUUGCACACAAGGGGUAAAAACCGUUUAGGCGAUCGUCCUCUUUCAGAGAUGCAGGCACAGCUACUGUUGAACACCAAACUCCCGAACCGCAAAUAAGGGAAUGCUCCAAACUCCCGAACGGCAUACAAUAUACCAAACACACGAACUGGAACCAUACGAAUAGCUGCUAGCAGACGAAUAGGAAAAGCAUCCAAGCGGCUUACACUCCUAGCAGUCAGUCUCUAUCAGCAUUCAGUAAAUCCCCCCAAAGACGAGACAAGGCUCCGUGUUGAGGGUCAAGCAGUGGUCCAAAAGAUAGAUCGUAGUCCUUUGUGACCAAAGGAAGCAUGGCUUUUCUGCCCAAAACCAGUUCCACAGAGUCUUCUAUCCUGGAGAUAAUUGGGAAGUAAUCCAAUUAUCUCCAAAGACAGAGGCAAAACUCCAUUGAACACAUGGCAGCAAAAGACAAUAAAACAUAUAACUGUGCAGCCAUUGCACAAAACAGGUACAUUCAACAUAUCCCCAUAUAGCUCAGAUCUGAGCCCACAUUAUUACUGAAUGGCGCUCAGAGCACAUACAUACAGUUCAAUUGCCAUGAAGCCAAAGUCUUUCCCAUAGUCUUUCAUUAUACGAAUGGGCUCCAUGGCAUAGCUAUCUGGGGUAUCACCGCUCAAACAGGGCAAGCACCAAAUGACCCGGCUUUCAUGUCUUUGCAGGGGAAAAUCAAGCCUUUUAACAUGGGGCCAUAAUCCAAAGGCAACAGGCGAGCAACCAGGCUUCUCCAAUGCAAUUUGGCGAGAUUGGUCUCGUCACAAAACCCUUACGCAAAAUCAGGCCCCGACCCCCUCCACACAACAACGCAUAGAUCAAUUCAGAGAGAAGUUGAAUGAUAAGCACCUGCGAGCUACGGCCCUGAUGACACAUAAGCUAAAACUGACAACAUAUACACAAGGUAAUAGAGCAGGGAGAACUUUAGCUAAGCUCUUACGAAAAGACAAAAUGCAAAAAUUCCAUAUCUCAUAAACCCCAUGGGAAACAAACUGUACAAUCCACAAGAGGUAAAUGACACGUUGGCGGACUACUAUGACACAUUAUACAACUUACGGAAGGAUAAACACACACACCAACCACUACAAGUAGAAAUAGACUCGUUUAUAACAGAUGCCCAACUGCCGCAACUUACGCAGACAGACCAGUCCUUGUUGGUAGAACCUAUCACUCAAAAAGAAAUUGAAUUCACAAUCAAAACACUCCCAAAGAGGAAAUCUCCUGGUCCAGAUGGGUUUACAAAUAUAUAUUACAAAACCUUCUCGAACUUGCUGACCCCCCAAUUAGAAAAAUUAUAUAACCAUAUAUUGACUACCGGUGUCAUACUUAGAGAAAUGCUAUUAGCUCAUAUAACGACACUACCAAAACCGGGGAAACCACCCAAUAGAUGCCAAAACCUGCGUCCCAUAUCGCUGCUAAACACAUACUUAAAAAUACUGGCCAAAAUUUACGCAAAUAGGCUCGGGAACAUCAUGCCAAAACCCCAGGUGGGGUUUGACCGAGGCAGACAAAGCUCGGACGGGACCAGGAAAUUGAUCAAUAUCCUUCAUACGAUACAGAAAACUGGGGAACCCCAUUUGACAGGCUACACUGAAGCUACCUAAAAACAGCACUUCGGAAGUUUGCAUUCCCUGAAUGCUUUAUUACCCUAGUAUCGGCACUCUACGAUAACCCAACAGCAAAUAUAUCCAACAGAGGCUUCACCUCCAAACCAUUUCAUAUCUCAAACGGGUCUAGGCAGGGAUGUCCGUUAUCUCCCCUACUUUACAUACUAGCAUUAGAACCACUUGCCCAACACAUAAGGAAUUCACAAGACAUCCAUGGGAUAUGCAUAGGAGGGAGAACACAUAAAAUUACUCUCUUCGCUGACGAUGUCAUGCUCACCCUCUCUAGACCCGAAACUUCCCUCCCAAUGCUCCAAAAUAUAUUAACGCAGUUUGGCAACUGCUCAUAUUAUAAACUAAACAUCAGUAAGACACAGGCCAUGGGUAUAAUAUAAAAAAAUAAAUAUGUAAAUACGUUAAAAAAUAAAAUUAAAAAAAUAAUUAAAAAUAAAUAAUUAAAAAAUACAUAGAGCACUGUAUGUGUGUGUGAGGCACUGUAUGUAUGUGUGGGGCAGUGUGUGUAUGGGGGGGUAGCAGUGUGUGUAGGGCACUGUAUGUGCCUGUGGGGCAGUAGUGUGUGUGGGGCAAUGUGUCUAUGGGUUUGCAGUGUGUGUGUGUGGAGAGGAGGGUAGGGAGGCUUUUAAAUAAUGUUUAUUUUUAUUUAAUAAUAUAAAUAUUAAUUAUGUCCCCCCCUCCCUUCUUACCUUAAUUGAGGAGGAGGGGGGCAUUUCUGGAUCCCUGGUGGUCCAGUGGGGAUUCUCUGGUGGUCCCAGUGGUAGGAGAGAACUCUAGGCCGCCUCUACUAGGCCAUACGCCAUCAGAGUAUUGCUCCGAAAAUCCCAUCUGACCCUGUCGAAGGCUUUCUCAGCAUCCAAUGACAGGGUCAGAAGAGAGACAUUCAUCCUUUGUGCUGCAUCAUGGACAUCCAAAACCCGUCUAAGGCGCAGUGCUGUAGUGGUUAUUGUGCCUGGAUUAUUUCUUUAAAUAAUCUACAGUUGCCCCCUCCCCCUGGAUCCGCCACUGCUAAGGCCACCUGCUGCUACUCUUCCUGGAAUAAAUCCAACCUGAUCCUGUUGUAUCAAGUCUGAAAUACAGGUUUUUAGGCGAUACGCUUUAAUCAUAGCAUUAAUCUUAACAUCUGCAUUUAGAAGAGAUAUGGGCCGGUAAUUCGCUAAUAUCUUUGGAUCUUUAUCUGGUUGUAUUACUACUUUAAAUAUGUUUGCAAAAUUAUAAACAUACAUCCCUUUUCUCUCUUUCUUCAUAGUAGUAGCUCCUCUGCUGUACAGGAUAAAGACACACUUUAUAGCCUAUCUUCCUAUGGAUCCACAUUGUAGCAUAGGGUCAUAAACCCGUGUGUAAGUGUUAUGUCUGUCAUGUAUUUGACGGGAGGAGUCCAAGAGGCAGGAAUCAGCCAAGGCUAAGAACCAAAGAAAAAAACAAAUUUGUAGUUGAAGAAAGCCAGGGGUCAGGUCAGGCAGCACGCUUCAAAGACCAUGGAACAGGCAGAGGGUCAGAUACCAAUAUGGGUUUUUGCCACUGGGUUUUUUACCUGGCCCCAGAUCACCCGGUGGACUGGUAAUCCUAUACCCUAGUUCACUGACAAGGGAUAGGUAUUAUUCCCACUAUGACUAUAUGCGUUCACUUUGUGAACGAAGGAGGGAAACAAUGCUUAGUGAAUAUACCCCUAGACAGAGCUAUACAGUUUCUUGUUUCAGAGCGUUGGUCUUAUUUCCUGUUUUCUAUUUCUGUAAUUCUAACUGCGUAGUAACAUAUCUAUUUUAUGAGUGCGUAGUAACUUUUUUAUUUCACUUGCGUAGUUAAACUGAAACAAUAAUGAGUACUCUCCCAUUACACCGACCAUCAGAAAAUUAAUGUUUGUUCUGGUUCAUUUUUAGAUAUUAUCUGAUUAUCCUUUAGUGGAUUAUUAUAAUGUGCUGUAUUGGCACUGGAGUACAACGUGUUUGGAUUUUUGAUUUGUAGAAAUCAUGUUAAUAGCCGAGUAAAUAACUAGUUCAACUGACUCAAAACAUGAAGGCUUCUUUUAACUUGGAGAACACAUCCACAUACAAUUAGACACAUAACAGGGGACCUAUGAAGUACAAGUCUACAUUAACAAAAUCUAUAGUUGUACUUUGAUUGAUAAAAGAUGUAUUCACAAAAAUGUAAAGACUGGCAGAUUCUAUAGGUUAAAACUGCUUAACCAACAAAUGAACGUCUAGUAGCUAAUUACUGUGUGUCUAUAUGAUUAAAUACAUUAGUAGACCAUGCAAUAAUAGUACCUUCAAUAGUGAUGACAGCAAAUAUUAAAAUAUAAAUGACAAAAUAGAAUGAGUUCAAAGUAUAUAAUGUAUACAAUUAUAUAAUGUAUAAGAGUGAAAAAGAAGUAACCAACAAGAUAAAGGCAAAUGAGGGAGGUGGAGGGGGGGAGGGGUGGGCUGUCGUAGAGAAAUGGAGGGGAACAGGUGGAACAAGGGAAGUGUAAGAGAAAAAUUAGGGGAGAUCCUAUUAGUAAGGCUGAUCAUGAUAAAGAAUGAAAAUACCAAGAGUAACUAGAAAAAAAAAUCAUUCAAGGCAUAGAUCAGUGGAACAUAGUAGACUAUGUGAGGUGAUGAAAGGAAAUAACAUGAGUAUUACUAAAGGAAAAUUGAGGGCAGAGUUGCCAAGGCAUCUACUUAAAUCAGGGUUUACAAUUAGUGGGUUCCUCUCAAACAAUUACAGCUUUAUUUAAACUACCUAUAAUAACUGGAGUAGUCUACCUUAUGACCACCCUAAACUUAAUCUAGUAUAUGUAUAGAGUAAUCUGUCAAAUAAAACUUAAUCUGUAUAGAAGAACUGAAAACUGGAAGUGGAGAAUGAACUGGGAAAAGGAAGCGAGGGAUGUACUCACGGUUGACAAAUGCAUAUUUAUUCUAAAACUGCAACAAAAAUCUAAAUAGAAUAAAAUACCUAAUGAAAAUGAAAAAAAAAAAAACAUCUCUUUUAAUGAAAUCAUAUGAGUGUAAAAAUACUGAUGAAUGAAAUGCUGGUUGCAAGCAUAUAAUAUGAUAUUAAACCAAGCUUUUUGUGUUACAUAUAUAUAUAUAUAUAUAUGCUCUCCUUUUACAUCAUAAACAGUAUUAAUAUUCUGUCUGUGAUUCUGACAUGCUUAUAGAUCUCGCUGCCUUUACACAAGGCAUUUGCUGUCUACAUGUUCCCUAAUGACUGCUUUUUACAUUUGUUACAUGUCUAUAUGAAAUAUAAAAAAAAAAAACAGGAAAACGCCCUUCAAUCAUUCACUUGUGAGAAAAACAGCAGUAUCCUAUUGUGAUGUGUGUUGUAACAUGCUGCUAAAAAAAGAGAUAAAAGAGGCAAUUCAAGGGUUGAAUCUAUAAUAUUUAAUUGUGCGAGACCGCCACAGCACACAUGUAAUUCCCAAAAUGUAACAUGAAAACUAAAAAAAAAUUUAAAAAAGUAUUCGAUUAUAGAAAAAAACCAAACACUUAGCAAAAGGAGUAAACAUAGGACGAGUUUAUGUAUAGAUCGUGAUCUAAGGAUACCUAAAAGAUCAAAAUGAUACCAAUGUAAAUAUACAUAUAUAUUUAAUUUCAACAUUUUACAAAUGUUGUAUCCCUUGAAUAAUUCACAAUGAACUAUAUAACUAUAUAUUUCUUAUGUAUAAGAAAUAUAAGCAAAUAAGCAAAAAUAUCAUAAUUUGCCUCAUUUGGUAGAUAGAUAAAAACAGUCAAAAACACAUUCAAAAAUAUGGUUAUUGGUCCCAUCCUGCUCGGACAGCUGUCUGAUUAUCUCUGCUCCGAAGGCCUCUUUAUGCUUGUUUCUACACUGACCACUCACCCCAGCUGUGUAAUACAAGUGUCUAUCAAUAUGGUAACAUCACAACCUGUUGACAGGCCCGCAGCGCACUUAAUAACCCUCCUCACAAAAAUAACUUACUAUUUUGUCUCUCUUACUCUUCUUCUCCAUUAAGUUCUUAUUUCCCAAGAAUGUACAGAUGAGAAGUCCGCCUGAGAGACAUAGGGCACGGCUGUCCAAAAAGGGCAUUAAAAGUUGCAACAGUCUUGUCAACAUUGGCCCAAAAUAAAAAAUGAGUUUCUAUUGAUCUUGACCUGUUUUAUAUUGUUAAACUUAAAAAGUAUGUGACAGUUUGCAUUGCACAAUCUUGGUGGAAGAUGGGUUUAUUCAUUCUGCAAAGAGGACAUUUUUAAAUACUAGAUUGUCCAAUGAAUACUUGGAUUCUAUGUCAUAUUAUCUGUUGAAUGAAAAUAAAGCAUUUUUAAAAAUAGUGAAACUGUAGAUAUUUCAAAAAAAAUUACACCAGAAUGUUUUUUGUAUGUGGGAAUAAGCCCACAAACAGUAAGUACUGUUACACCUAUCACCUGUACUACAUAUUUCUAGUGUACUCAAAGUCCUUUCUUUUUCUUUCCACUCUCUAUCUACUAGAAUAAGCCAUUAUGUUUGACCUAUAAAUUUAGUGUAGGAAGAAAGGAAAGCGCUGGCAGUUUAAAUCUAAUAACAAAGGUCAGGGGCGGACUGAGAGCCUUUGGGGCCCCCGGGCAAAAUUAGAUCCCAGGCCCUUUGAAGGCCAAAUAUAUGUGCAUUUUAAUAAAUGUUAAAUAUAAUUCAUAAUACGGCAUUCCUUUGGAUGUGUGUAUUGUGAAGACCUGUGUAUCAAUGCAUGUUUGUAUUUGAGUCUGUGUGAAUGCACUUGUGCAUGUCUGGAUGACUACAUGUGCUUUUUUGUAUAUAGUGUCUGUGUGAAUGCAUAUGUGACAGGUGACAGAGUGUGUGAGGGAGAAGGUGACAGGUGGAAGAGUGUGGGAGGUUGUGACAGGUGGCAGAGUGAGGGGGUACCUGGUGGCAGAGUGAGGGAGGGGUUGAGUGGUGGCAGAGUGAGGGGGAGACACAGUGAGUGGGGGUGACUGGUGACAGAGUGAGGGAGUGGGUGACUAGUGACAGAGGGAAGGAGAGGGGGAGACUAGUGACAGAGGGAGGGAAUGGGAGACUAGUGACAGAGUGAGGGAAUGGGUGACUAGUGACAGAGUGAGGGAAUGGGUGACUAGUGGCAGAGUGAGGGAGGGAAGGGGUGACUAGUGACAGAGUGAGGGGAUGACUGGUGACAGAGUGAGGGGGGGUGACUGUCACUAGUCACCCCAUCCCUCUCUCUGUCACUAGUUACUCCCUCCCUAACUCUGUCACUGUGUCACCCGCUCCCUCACUCUGUCACUAGUCACCCCCUUACUCUGUCACUGUGUUACCCCUCCCUCUGUCACUAGUCACCCCCUCCCUCACUCUGUCACUAAUCACCCCCUCUCUCCCUAGUCACCCCCUUCCUCACUCUGUUACUAGUCACCCCAUCCUUCUCUCUGUCACUAGUCACCCCAUCCCUCUCUCUGUCACUAGUCACCCCAUCCCUCUCUCUGUCACUAGUCACUCCCUCCCUAACUCUGUCAUUGUGAAGGAAGGAAGGAAGGGGUGACUGGUGACAGAGUGAGGGAAGGGAUGACUAGUGGCAGAGUGAGGGAAGGAAGGGAUGACUGGUGACAGAGUGAGAGAGGGUGUGACUAGUGACAGAGUGAGAGAGGGUGUGACUAGUGACAGAGUGAGAGAGGGGGUGACUGUCACUAGUCACCCCAUCCCUCUCUCUGUCACUAGUCACUCCCUCCCUAACUCUGUCACUGUGUCACCCCGUUCCUCACUCUGUCACUAGUCACCCCCUCUCUCACUAUGUCACUAGUCACCCCCUCUCUCACUAUGUCACUAGUCACCCCCUCCCUCACUAUGUCACCCCCUUCCUCACUCUCACUAGUCACCCCCUCUCUCACUCUGUCACUAAGGACAGAGGGGGUGAUUAGUGACAGAGUGAGGGAGGGGUGACUAGUGACAGAGUGAGGGAGCAGGUGACACAGUUAGGAGGGAGUGACUAGUGACAGAGGGAUGGGGUGACUAGUGACAGUCACCCCUUCCCUCACGCUGUCACUAGUCACCCCCUCUCUCACUCUGUCACUAAGGACAGAGGGGGUGAUUAGUGACAGAGUGAGGGAGGGGGUGACUAGUGACAGAGUGAGGGAGCAGGUGACACAGUGACAGAGUUAGGAGGGAGUGACUAGUGACAGAGGGAUGGGGUGACUAGUGACAGUCACCCCUUCCCUCACUCUGUCACUAGUCACUCACUCUGUCACCUGUCACUCCCUCACUCUGUCACUAGUGUGAGGGGGUUACUAGUGGCAGAGUGAGGGAAGGAAGGGGUGACUAGUGACAGAGUGAGGGAGGUGGUGACUGUUACUAGUCACCACCUCCCUCUGUCACUACUCCCUCCCUCCUUCUGUCACUACUCCCUCCCUUCUUCUGUCACUAGUCACCCCCUCCCUCACUCUGUCACCAGUCAUCCCCUCCCUCACUUUGUCACCAGUCAUCCCCUUCCCUCACUCUGUCACCCCCUCACUCUAGUGACAGAGUGAGGGAGGGGGUGACUAGUGACAGAGUGAGAGAGAGGGUGACUAGUGACAGAGUGAGGAAGGGGGUGACACAGUGACAGAGUGAGGGAGGGGGUGACUAGUGACAGAGUGAAGGAGGUGGUGACCGUCACUAGUCACCCCCUCCCUCUCUCUGUCAUAGUGACACCCUCCCUCACUCUGUCACUAGUCACCCCCUCCUCACUGUCGCAGCCACCCCUCCUCUCUGUCACUAGUGACACCCUCCCUCCCACUCUGUCACUAAGUCACCCCCACUCCCUCACAAUACUUGAAUCCCCCCUCCCUCUCUCAUCACUAGUCACCCCUCCCUCUCUCUGUCACUAGUCACCUCCCUCCCACUCUUCACUAGAAGUGAGGUGACUAAUGACUUAGUGAAAAUGACAGAAAACCCAUUUGAAAGAAACUGACAAUGACAGUGAAAACUGCUAGCAACAGUGAAAAGUGACAAGUAACAGUAGUGACUAAUGACAGUGAAAACUAUAUGAAAAGUGACUAAUGACAGUGAGGAAGUAACUAGUAACAGUAGAGUGACAAGAAAUGACAAUGGUGACUAGUGACAGUAAGAAGUGACUAGUGACAGUGAGAGUGACUAGUAUUGACAGUGAGGAAGUGACUAGUGACAGUGAGGACUGAAGUGACAGUAGAGGUGACUAGUGACAGUAGAAGUGACUAGUAACGUGAGGUGACAGAGUGGGGAGUGACUAGUGACAGUGGGGGUGACUAGUGACAGUAGAAGUGACUAGUGACAGUGAGGGUGACUAGUGACAGUGGGGGGUGACUAGUGACAGUGAGGGUGACUGGUGAGUGAGGGGGGUGACUAGUGACAGUGAGGGGGGUGACUGGUGACAGUGAGGGGGUGACUGUGAGGAGUGAUGAGUGAGGGGGGAGGGGGUGAUUGGUGCCUACCUGCAUCUCUGCUCCCUCUUCUCUCCCUGCCUGCUGCUCCUUCUCGGCUCUGUGUGAGAGGAGUAAACAGGAUGUCACUUCCUGGCCUCUCCCAUCACACAGAGCUGCAUGGGAGAGGAAGCAGGAGACCUGGUAGAGAGUGGCUGAAGCUGCCAGGUCUCAUGGGGGGUGGGGGGGGGUGACUAGCAAAACGGUAGGUUGUGGGGCCCCGCGCUGCAUCAGGGGCCCCACAACCUAUCAAUUAAAAAGUUUUAUUUUAUUAUUUUGCCGUUCCAGCUGGAGAGAUCUCUGAUCUCUCCAGCUGGAGCAUGGCUGUGCAGUCGGGCCCCUGACUGCCUCGGGCCCUCGGUCCAUGACCGAAGUGCCCGAGUGGUCAGUCCGCCCCUGACAAAGGUGCAGCUAGACAGAAAAUCAGGCUAUGGGUUUAAGACCCAGAAGUAUCAUAUACAGCACUGCUGGAUGAAGUUAACAAAAUCCAGUUUAAACUAGCAAGCCUAAACAGAGCUAUGUUAAUUUGUAACUUUUAAAAAAAAAAUUGGCAGGUAAAGAACUCGUGCUGUAAAAUUUUAGUUUUGCAUGUGCUGAUUGGUGGGCACAGUGUGAGACACAAAAAGUGUGAAAGAUUUGCAUUAAACAUUGAACAUGAAUAUGGUAAGAAUAGUACAUCAUAUGGUGGUGAUACUGUAGAAUAUUGCAUAUUCUAUGUUUCUAUUGAUUAUAUAUGGAUGUGUGGAUUGACAUAAGUAACAGAUGGUAUAACUCACAAGGCUUUCUUUGUAUGAGAGCUCUGGGGAUUUUGUCCUUAUAUGGCUAGAGUUAUAGUCUGACGUCAUUAUGGCCCUUCUAUAUAGUAACUGAACAAAGAGACAUAAGGUCUCUUGGCUCUUGGCUCUCUCUGGCUCUCUCUCGAUGUAAAGAUGUAAGGAUGUAACUCUCCCUUCAGGAGUCCAGUCCUUUGUUGUUUUAUUAUGAAACCGUAAGUCAGAUUGCGUAUUAGUACUUUUCAUUAAUAUAGACAUAUAUUAAUGUUGCGAGCAAAUUUGGCCCAAGACUAUAUAUACAAAAGACGUAUAUAUAUCAAUCAACUGAAGACAAGAAGAAAUUAAGAAGAUUCAACAGUGACGAUCGAUCCCAACCAGAUUUUCCAGAUACAAUAAUAUAACGAAAGUCUGUGGUUUAACAGUAAUUUCUGGUCUGCUCAGUUAGUACAUGGUAUACUAGACAGUUUAGGGCACAUCAUAAAUACAGUACGUUACACAUGUGGAGUCAACAGGUUUCUUUAUAACUAGGAUUUUAAGUGUGCAUUACCUAAUAACAUUUCUGUGAAGCUCCUAAAAAUCCUUAGUCUAAAACUAUAUUUCAGCGUUCAGGAGGGCGUGUUAUUAGUCCUAGUUUGUUAAAGGGGAGUAUAUAUGAUGUUGGGUUUUUACUGAGUGCUCGCUAGAUAUGUUGGUAACCCAAAUUGUUUGACCAAACACAAGGAUCGAGUGUGGAGUGGCUGUCUUAUAUAUUUAUUUCUGUUACCCAGCCGCAGUCCACAUUGUAUCUUUAUUGUAUAUGGGUGUAAUAAAGUUACUAUUUUUGGAUACAUGGGACAUUAAUCCUCCUAUACAUAUGAAUUGUCUCUAAGAAAGUUAUUUUUCUGUUUUUUUCAUGUACAUAUACCAGUACUUAAUCUCCCCCUUAUGGGGUCAUUCCCUCUCUACUUAUAAAAUUGUAGUUCUAGGGUCCAAGCCCUCAGGUGGGGUGGUACCACCACAUUGACCUUUUUGUCUCUGGUCCAACAGGUUUGGAUAUAGCAACAAAAACUCCUUUUUACUUUUUAAAAGAUGACUUAACUAGUUACAAUAGCAUGGCAAUGCAUAAAAAUGAACCUGCCAUCCAGACAUUGCAAAGAUGACAAGUUUACCAAAGUACAUUUACCUCUAGUCCAUAGGAGUGCACAAGUAAGAUACUUGUUGUGCCCAGACACACCAUAAAAUGCAUGGCUAUCACAGUCUUACUUUGGCUGGAGUCCGAAGUGCAGAGAUGUUUGCUUACCCUUGCAGAUAAACACAACCCAUGGUAACCAGGUAAGAAGCUACCUGGGCUGUGAAUUUGUGCAUCAAACAAGAUCCCUGAAGGAAAAAAAUAAAUAAAAGAAACUCGGGCGCUUGGUGCUGUUUAUCAGAUGUACCGGGUAUGUGAGUAUGUGUGUUGGGUACUUCCAUGAGUAUCUUGCUAGCUGGGGAGGCUGCUUUCGCCCUUCAUAAAUAAUGGGGACAUCUAGUGGUUAGUAGCGAGACUCAGAAAUUGUGGGGCCCCUAACACAGCUCAAGGUCUGGGCCCCCAUGUGCCCGCCUCCAAGCCCCGCCUCCAAAUCCCGCCAACAGGAAUACACACACACAGACACAAAAGGACACAGACGCACACACAGAAAGAUACACACAUACUAACAGACACAAAUACUGAAACAGACAUACAUAUAGAUACAUAUAUAUACAUACACAGAUACACACACACACACACUGACAUAAAGACACACACACAUACAUACUGACAAACAGAUAUACAUACAACUUAAAUACAUACUGACAUACAUACAUAAUGGCAUACAUACACAUACAUACUGAUAUUCAUACAUACAUACACACACACACACACAGAGAUAUAUACAUACACAGAUACACACAGACAUACUGACAUAUACACACACAGACAUACAUGCAUACUGACAUACAUACUGAUAGAUUGAGAUACACACACACAGACAUACAUGCAUACUGACAUACAUACAUAAUUGCAGACACACAGACAGACAGACAUACAUACAGACAUACACAAACACAUACAGAUAGACACAUACACACAGACAUACAUACUGACAUACACACGGACAUACAUACUGACAUACACACAGACAUACACACAGACAUACAUACUGACAUACACACAGACAGACUUGCAGACACACACACACACCUCAUUUAUCAGCCACCCUCCUCUCACUUUUAAGUUGCAGGAGGGUGGCUGAGGAUGAUGUGAGUGGAUGCCUCUGGUGUCCCUGUCCUCUCCUCCGCUCUCCCCCCGCGCGGAAUAAGCUGGGAGGAAGUGACUGGCCGUCACUUCCUCCCAGCAGCACUUGCGGUGUUUAGCCGCAAUUUAAAAAAUUUUUUUUAAAGGGGCCCGGUCGCGUAAUUACCCGGUGCAGCGCUGACCGGGCCCCUGAAGAUAUAGGGCCCAUCGGGUGGCCCUAAAUGCUUGGGCCACCUGAUGGGCUCCGGUGCAGAUGCACCUGCGGCAGUCUCGCCGCUCCAGGUGGGGUCUGGGCGAGACUAGUGCUACGAAUUACAUUACUAGUGUUUUUAGUGAGUAGGUCUGGAGGUAGCUUGCUAUGGAAAAAUUUUACACCUCACUUCGAGAUAGAGUGGGUCUAGGUCUAACGGCCAUUGAGUGGAGGAGGCAGGGGGAGAGAGGAAUCGUCCUUAUGGGGAGCUUGGUGCUAAAUAAACAGGUACCAACAAAACAGAAAGUAAUGAACAAAAGGAAACAAACAAAAAAAUAUAGUCACAGAAACGGUGAUGUUUUCUGCCUGUCAAGGCUCGGAACCCCUUUGGUAACAGGUACGUGUGAGAGAAGUUCGCCUCAGGUAGUAACCAAAGAAGCUCCGUGUGGGGCUCGUUGCGGGACAAAUGGAGUGCUUCUUGCAGGGUCCCAUGUGUGUGCCUGUUCGGUUGCCCCUCGAGGCCCAUUACUCUGCAGAGCAUCCUGUGGGAGGCCUAUGGUGUCCAGGAGCGCCAAUGCCUCCUGUAUGUCAUGGACCGGGUAGAAGGAUUCUCUGUGUUGCACUUGGAGCAUGCGGGAUAUCCGCCACCUGUAUUGGAUUUUGUUGUUCCAUAGGAGAGUGGUAAACCCCUGCAGGGAUGUAAAAGGUUAAGGAAAUGUCUUCAAAUACAUAUGGGGACUGUCCUUCAAGUGCUUCUUGUACUGUCGCCUUGUCACUGCUUCUUUGGAAUUUCACCACUGUAUCUCUGGGCGCCUCUUCUGGGGCCCUACUGGGUUUCGGGAUCCGGAAUACCCCAUCCACCGCAAUUUGCCUGACUUGCUUUGUAGACAGCAAUGCUCCCAGCAGCCUUCUUAUGAGGUGCGGUAACUCUGCUGUUGGUACCUCCUCUGGGAUACCUCUUAUUUUAAGUUUAGUGCGGCGCCUUGUGUCUUCCACGGUCGCCAGUUUCUGUUCAAACCCAGCCUGUUUCUUUUUCAUCGCUUGUACCUCUUGUUCCUUUCUUUUUCCUUUCUAAUUUUAUUUUCUUCUCAUCUAUCCAUCAACACCCUGUAACGUGCACUAGACAAAUGCAAGGCAGAACUGUGUAAAGCACAACAGCACACCACCCAGCAAUAAGAGAAAUCAAAACCUCACUACAGCAGAGUAUAGCAAGGGACGCCUACCUAACGAAGACACCCAAAAGCUUCAGCCCAGGUCUCGGCUCUGAGCCCACAAAGGAGCUUGGACUGGAUACCCACACAUUAAGAAUGCUUUAGGGUGGUGGUCAGCACGGGCAUGAGCGGGUACGAGCGUAGCUCUGAAUUUUUUGUUUCUCUUUAUAAUGUUUCUACCUAUUGACAAGUAAUGGAGGUGUGGAAUGAUAUUUAGAUAUAGGGACUUAUUGCACGGCUGAUGCAAAAAUUUUACCCCCAGAAUCUAAUAUCCAAACAUCAAAUAAAAGGCCUAUAAAAUUGGUAUUAACCAUAAAUCAUAAACAACCAGUUAAAACAAAUCAUAAACAACUAAGAGUCAUAGCAUAGACUUAUAAAAGUCAUAACACUAAUAUAGCUAAUCAUAAAAGGGGAACAUUUUCCUGACAAUAGCUAAAACCAGAGAAUCUCGAGUAAUACACAAAAGUAAAAAAUAAAAUAAAAAGGUCCCUAAAAAAGAGAAAUCACAAGAGAAAACACAUGAGACAGAAAAGGUUGAUAAAACAUAUAAAACAGAAAAAAAAUCAAAACUAGCACAACCAGUACUUUUUUCUCACCUAAACCUAACACAGCAUUACAAAAAGAACAAAAUAGAAGAUAAAUAUCUCCUAAUUCACUGGAGACUUCUACAUCUUCUAUACAGACAGAAAAAACUCUAUCUAUUAAAAAUAAAAUAAUGUCUCAGGAAAAUUUACUUGAAGCAUUAGAGGAAUUUAGGCCCGCCAUCAGAAAUUUUGGGGCCCCUAACACAGCUCAAGGUCUGGGCUCCCUGGGUGCCCGCCUCCAAGCCCUGCCUCCAAAUCCCACCAACAGGAAUACACACACACAGACACAAAAGGACACAGACACACACACAAAAAAAAUACACAAAUACUGAAACAGACAUACACACAUACAGGCAUACUGACACACACAUACUGAAACAGACACACACACACAUACAGACACAUACAGACACACACACACGCAUAAGGAGAUACGCAUACACACUGAUGUACAUACAUACUCGCAUACUGACAUACACACAUACAUACUGACAAACAGACAUACAUAUAAACUGACAUACAGACAUACAAACAGACAUACAUACAUACAUAAUGGCAUACAUACACAUACAUACUGAUAUACAUACAGACACACAUACAUACUGAUAUACACACACAUGCAGAUAGAUAUAUACAUACACACAUACAUACAGACAUACAUACAUACUGAUAGAUAUAUGCAUACAUACAGGCACACACACACACACACACACAGACAUACAUACAUAUACAUACAUACAUACUGACAGACAUACAUACAUAGAUAGACAGAUAGAUAGAUACACACAUAUAUAUACACACAUCCAUACUGACAAACACAUACAUACAUGCAGACACAUACAUACAUUCUGAUAUACAUACACAUAUACAGACAUACACCUCAUUUUUCAGCCAUUCUCCUAUUCCUUACCUUUAAGUUGCAGGAGGGUGGCUGGGGAUGAUGGGAGCGGAUGCCUCUGCUCUCCUUUCCUCUGCUCGGCUGUCUCUCCCCCCGCAAGGAGUAAGCUGGGAGGUAGUGACCGGCCGUCACUUCCUCCCAGCAGCAUUUGCGGUGCAGCCGCAUUUUUUUUCUUUAAAGGGGCCCGGUCGCGCUAUUACAGCGCUGACCGGGCCCCUGAAGAUAUAGGGCUCAUCGGGUGGCCCUAAAUGCUUGGGCCAUCGGAUGGGCCCCGGUGCAGAUGCACCUGCGGCAGUUUCGCCGCUCCACGUGGGGCCACGUGAGACCUCCUGGGGCCCAGAAUUAUAUGGAAAAAUUCACAAUGACUUUAAGUCUCAUAUAUCAGAUUUAAAAUCAGAGGUACUGGACUUAAAAAAGAAAAUAAUAGCGCAAAAUGGCGCUUUAAAAGACACACGAGAAGAAAUCAAAUUACUCCAAACUCAGAAUUCUAUUCUAAAGAAUCAGGUAAAGCAAUUAGAAAUCCGAACUAUUGAUAUUAAAGACAGAUCAAGGAGAAACAAUUUAAGGAUUAAAGGAAUACCAAAUAGAAAUUAAAUUAGAGAAAUUAGAGCAGUAAUUAAAGGAAUAUAUGGCUCAAUUUUUAGACCCACAGGAAAUUGGAUCAGCACCAUUUGAGAGAUAUCAUAGAAUUCGAAAGCCAGAUAAUAUACAAAAAAACAGAGAUGUGAACGUGCGAUUCUUGAACUGUGCAUUAAAAGAUGCCUUGAUUAGGAAAAUACACUAUAAUAAGCCUCAGGACCCAAAAUUCUCUAUGAUCUCCACCUUCCCAGAUCUUUCAUUAGCAACAAGAAACAGUCGAAAACGAUUCAGAGAUAUGACUAUUAUACUAAGGGACAAAAAUAUCCCAUACAUAUGGGGUUUUCCCACUAAACGUUUGAUUUUUCAAGGCGAUAGGACUAUCAUAAUAAAAGAUCCAUCCGAAGACCUAAUGAAAAUGGGGAUUUCACUUUAAGCCACGAUUGUUAUGAGUAAAAAUGGAAAAGGGGAAGAUCAAGGAAAGUGUAACAAUAAGGAAGUAAAGAAAAUGACAAAGGAUUAGUUAGAGACAGGAGGAAUGAGUAAACAAGAAGAACAGGGGAACACAUACAACUUAAUGGAAAGGGAAAAUUGAAGAAAGGGAACAUAAUAGGAAUUUGUAGAAGGGAUAAAACAAGGAAUAAAAACGGGGAUUAAGAAUAUGCACAACUAAUUUCACAGUAUACAUUUUUAUAUAUAUUUUUAAAAUUUUUCUCUCGUAAUUAUACACUAGAAGUAGCAUAUUUCUUUGAGCACAAACAUAACAUUUACUUAAAGGACCUGUGAAACUAUAAGCACCAAGGGAUCAACAUUUGGGGAUUUAGUAAUAGAAGAAGCACUAACAAAGUAAUAUUAACAAAAAAAGGCGAUAAUUAAUAUAAGAAACUAAUUAUACUACAAAGAUAUAAGGAAUAAGUGACACUUAGGGGAAUUUAGAAGGUUUUAGUACACAAGGGCAAGCUCAUUCUCUCUCAUGUCAAAACUAAAAUAACCAACUAGAACAAUGUUACACUUAAAUAUAUAAGCAUAAUAGUGAUAUAUCCCCUAUUUCUAGUUGAAAAUCUAAUUUAAUUUCCAAUUUUUUUUUUUGAGUGAAAAUAUCAUUCUAAUAUAAAUCCUCUUUUAAUAAUAACAAUUAAGGGAAAAUAAAUAAAAUAGAGAGAAAAGGAAUUGUUCUGAGAAAAUGGGAGAACAAAGUUUGGGUUGAAAAAUGUUAAAUUUUAAAGAAAAAUGGGGAGUAUCACUCAUGGAGGGAUUUGAAUUUAUAUAAUUAAGAACGAGAGGGAAAGAUUAUAUGGAUCAAAUCCCUAAGAAGGUUAUAGGCCUUUAUAGAUAAUUGGGGAAAUUAAGCUACCAAUAUAGGAAUAAGGACUAAUUUAAGUACUUAGUAAAUAUUGGUAGUAAUAGGUAAUUUAUUAACAUCAAAAUACAUUUAAAAUAUUUUAGCUGCCAUAAGCUCAACACACCUUUUAGAUUAAUUGCCCAAGAUCGUGCCAGCAACUGUAACCUAGCACUAGAUUUAGAAUAUAUUUCUUUAUUGCUAGAGAAUAGCCUAGAAUUUACUAGGAUUGAAGUAUGAAUGGUAAGAAAGGCAGUGGUAUGUAUGAAUGUGUGCUGACAGGACACCGUUGGAGGAGGAUGGGGUGGGUAGGGUGCCAGAGGCCGCCAUAGCAAUAAUAGAAUCUUAUUAGCAGAUAUAAACCUUGACUAUUAAGGUGCUAUCAAUAAAUUCCCAAGGUCAAAAUUUAUUUCAGAAAAGGUGAUAUCUAUAUGAUACAAUUACAAAAGAGAAAGUAGAUAUAUGUUUUGUCCAGGAGACUCAUUGGAGGGAAGGAGACACACAAAAAUGGAAAUGCAAUAAAUAUUCCAUUAUCUUUACCUCCAGCUUUAAUAAUAAAAAAAAAAAAGAUAUUAAUUUCUGAUAGAAUAAAAUUUAAACUGAUAUUCGAACAAAAAGAUACAGAAAGCAGGUAUCUUAUUAUUGUUUGCAAAAUUAAUGAAAAUAUAACCACUUUGACACAUAUCCUCAGCAUUUUUUCAAGAAAAUUUUAGUAAUUGUAAAUAAAAUUGAGAAAGGGAAACUAUUAAUAGCAGGGGAUAUGAAUGUAGUGGCAGAUGUAAAAUGGGAUAAAUCAAACCAGAAGCCCUCUACUGUAUACCUGCGAGAAGGGAAAAUAAAUUUUAGUUGAACAUAAUUUAUUUGAUAUAUGGAGAGUUCAACAUCCCCAAGAAAGAGAUUUCUCCUUUUUUUUGAAAGUCCAUAAAGCUUAUUCGAGAAUAGAUUACUUUGAAUCACUGAUUCAAAUAAUUUACGAUAUUUAAAAAAAAAUCUAAACUAGAUCUGAUCACUUGGUCAGAUCAGGGGCGUACCUGGAGCAUUUGGCACCCGGGACGGAUCCUUUAUUUGGCACCCCCCCUCCCAACUUAAAAUGUAAAAAACAACCACAAUUUAAAAAAAAUUUUUUUUUUAUUUAGCACUGAGCAGUGUUUGUAUAUUUUUAAUGUAAGCAUGUUAUUGUAUGGAGUAUGUGUGAGUGAAUGUAUGGGUGUGUUUGCACGUAUUGGCAUUUGAAUGCAGGCGUGCAUUUUUCUGUAGUGUGCUUUUGUUGACAUUUGGAUGCAGGGUUGUAUUUGUGUGUAGUUUAGGCAAAAUGCUGAGAUGUAUGCACAUACACACAUAUACUCACAUAUACACAUACACAUAGGUACACACAUGCAGUUACAUAGAAACACAGUUAUACACAGACGCAGACAAAUACUGACACACAUACAGAUACAAACACAGACACACAGAGCGACACAGAGAGACACACAGGCACAUACAUACAAAUAAACAAACACAACAAAACAAACAAACACACAAACAGAUACACAUACAGAUACACAUGUAUAAGUGUGUGAUUGCAUAGAGAAUGUAGUGUGUUUGUGUAGUGAAUGCAGCUUGUGUGUAUAAAGUAUGCAGUGUGUGUAUAGUGAAUGCAGUGUGUGUACAAUGUAUGCAGUGUGUGUAUAGUGUAUGCAGUUUGUGUAUAGUGUAUGCAGUGUGUGUGCAGUGUAUGCAGUGUGUGUAUAGUGAAUGUGUAUAGUGUAUGCAUUGUAUAGUGUAUGCAGUGUGUGUAUAGUGAAUGCAGUGUAUGUACAAUGUAUGCAGUGUGUAUAUAGUGUAUGCAGUGUAUGUACAAUGUAUGCAGUGUGUAUAUAGUGUAUACAGUGUGUGUAUAGUGAAUGCAGUGUAUGUAUAGUGAAUACAGUGUAUGUAUAGUGUAUGCAGUGUGUGUACAGUGAAUGCACUGUGUGUAUAGUGUAUGCAGUGUGUGUGGCACCCGGGGUGGACAACCCCCGCAGCCACCUCCCCUUAAUACACCACUGGGUCAGAUCAUGCUCCAAUAAAUGUGGAAAUAGGGGAAGAGCAAGAUUCAGUGAUAAGAUCAUCCUGGAGGUUAAAUGAACCUUAAGAAGUUCUUAAAUCAGAUAGAAACUGCAGAUACUUGAAUAAAAAGAUCAAGGAGUUUAUUUUAGCGAAUAAUAACAGUGAAGUAACAAUAGGAACUCUGUGGCGUGCUUUAAACAGUUACAUAAGAGGGUUCAUAAUCAAAACGGGGAUUAAAGCUAAGAAGGAGAUGGGGAAAUCACUAAAUGAUCUGUCUAUCUGUAUAUUCCCUAGCGUAUUUAGAAAGAGAAAAUAAACAGAAUGUAACAAUAGACAAAACAACUCAAAUUCAAAAUUUUUAUUUAGAAAUUAAAAACGGCUUGGAACUUAAGACAUCGAAUGCUGUCCUCAAACUAAAUCAAAUAUGAUAUUAUGGAGAGAAUAGAGUCGGUAAAACUUCUUUUAAAUAAAAUCAAGCCUAGAUCAAAGGCAUAACCGAUUAGAAAAAUAAUUCAGGGUAAUGAAGUACAUCAAACACCUGAAGCAAUUAGUAAAGCGUUCAAAGAAUUUUAUGAAUCCCUAUAUAAUUUACCAGAUAUAAAAUCAUCAGUGGAAGAAAUGCAGCAGUUCUUAAAUAAACUUAAUCUCCCAGAAAUAGGGGAUUGUGAGAUAGAAGAACUGAACUCUCCUAUAACAAUUGAGGAGAUAACAGGGAACAUAAAAAAACUUGAAAUCAGGGAAAGCCCUGGGACCAGAUGGGAAAUCAUCCCUUUUUUAUAGAAAACUUCAAACUCUGAUCUCUCCAAAACUUGGUAGGUUGUUUAAUGGAAUAAAUAAGGAUUUGCAGUUUCCAUCAGAGAUGCUCCAGACACUUAUAACUUCUUUUUUAAAACCAGGAAAGGAUGAAAGUUUUAUGAGCAACUAUCAUCAUAUAUCCCUUAUAAACACUGAUAUCAAGUUAUUUUCAAAGAUAUUAGCGGAGAGAGGGAAAAAGUGCUCCUAAAUUUAUUACAUUCUGAUUAAACAGGGUUUGUUACUAAUCGAUCUGGUACUGAUAAUGUUCGAAAAAUCAUGAACUUAAUACAAGAAGUUAACGCUGAAUCAUACCCAUUGGUAUUUCUAGCUUUGGACGCAAAAAAGGCCUUCGUCAGGGUUAGUUGGUCCUACCUGUCGGAGGCCUUAAAAGAUUUUGGGUUCCAGGGCAGCAUUUUUAAUAGAAUAAUGAGCUUAUAUACAUCAUCCUCUGCAAAGGUAAGAGGGGAGGGGGCUCAAAUCUAGUUUUUUUAAAAUUAAAAAUGGGACAAGACAGGGUUGCCCAUUGGCUCCUAUGUUAUAUAUUCUGUAUAUUGAACCCGUUGCAGCAUUAAUUAGACAAUCAAAGGAGAUAGAGGGAAUUACUGUAACGGAGUCUUACCUGAUAGGGAGUCAAGCUCGUAGAGUUAUACGCUCACCCUUGCAAAGUAGACACAGACCAGGGUGACCAGGUAAGACGCCACCUGGCCUGUGAGUCUGUGCACGGGGGCUUUCCAGGAAAAGUGCUCCAAGACUCAGUACAGCAGGGAUAAGCAGAAGCGUGGUCAAGGAAAGCCAAAGUCAGGGGAAGCCAGAUAUCAGAGUAGUCCAGGAGGAAAGCCAAGGUCAGAAGCCGGAAUCAGACAGGAAAUACUGGAACGCGGAUAUAGCAAGACAGGAACCAAACAAGGGAACCAGAGUCAAUGAACUGACACCCCUCCCAGGGUGAGGCAGGCUUUUAUAUCCUGUUAAUUAGGAUCAGAUUCAGCUGGAGAGUAACUGACAGAUCAGAGCCUAAGUGAAGUCCAGACCCCUAGUGCUGCAGGUAAUACAAGAACAAACAGGAGUUAUCCAAAGUCCUGAAAUGGCUCAGAGGGAAACUAGCAGGACACGGUCCAGAAGGACCACAGUUCAAAUCCCCUAUCGGGCGCUUCCGGAGCGACCACGUCUGGCAGACUGGAUGUCACGGCGUGAACCGUGACAGUACCCCCCCGUCAAGAACGCCCUCCGGGCGUGAACAGGCUCUUCCUGGAAAUGGUAUUCCUCAUCUUCGGUCUCAGUAUCGCUAAGAUAGUCUUUAUAAUUAAGGUAUCCUUUUACGACCUGGGAUUUUAGGGUACCAGUUUCGGGUGCUAUAGGGGAGGCAUUUGCAGCUUUCAAAGCUUUUUCGAAGACUUCUAAAUCCUGUUUGCACACAACUGUGCCAUUUGAGGCAUAGGUGCAGUCAGGUGGCAGAACUGUUUUGGCAAGGCAGGAAGUGGUGCUUGCUUGAACAGAAGUGUCAUCAGGAAGAGGUCCAACUGUUUCUAGAGCAGGAGGUGAAGUUUCCACAGAGGUACUGGUAACAUUAACGGUAUUAGUUUGGGUACCCUUUUGUGUCACAGGACGGGGACAGGGCUGGCAGUGUCCAGGCUGUCUUGCUGGGAUGACAGGGUAAGUCCAUAUGGCACCAGACAGAAGGGGUCUUGGUCUAGGUGGACGAGUCGGGCAGAGCGAUAUGAAAUGCCCUCUUUUCCCACAGUAUAGACAUAGACCAUGGGCUCUCCUGCGAUCUUUUUCCUUUGGGGGCAAUCUAGUUUUGGUGAAGCCAAUCUCCAUGGGUUCCUCCAUGUCGACUGGAGUUUCACUGCUAGCGCGAGUGUAAACAGGGUUACAAGGCGGGUCCCUGAAAGUGGGUUCAUGCUGCAACAUGAUGGGAUUUUUGUAUCCAUAAAACAAUUCCUCUUCUCUCGGCAACCGGGUUCUGCGAGAACCUGAAGUAGGCUUGGAAGUUGCUUUUCUCGCUGCAAAACACUGAGAAUCCAUUGCGGACAUAAACAACUCCCAGGAGUCCAAGACAGUACUUCUCUCCUGCAACUUCUGGUGUGCCCACGCCUUAAUCCGCCCGGUACAUAGGUUAAUAGCGGAGCGUACUUUGAUAAAGUCGGUGGCGUAGGUUCUCGAUUUCAGGGCAAAUAGUAGCUCACAAUCCGUCUUGAACAUCGGAAAAGCAGAACGGGAACCGUCGAACCUGUCAGGCAUAAAGACAUACGGUUCUGGGCAUACAUGUUCCGGGACUGGAAGCGUUGCUCCUUUAAAUGCCAAUGAAUGUCUCUGCAAUUCUGUAACAUUCUGGGACAGGUUGGAGACUUGCUCGGCUAGGGAGGUGAGUAACUUGUAUAACUCUGCGGACUCCAUUGGUCAGUUCAUCUGUAACGGAGUCUUACCUGAUAGGGAGUCCAGCUCGCAGAGUUAUACGCUCACCCUUGCAAAGUAGACACAGACCAGGGUGACCAGGUAAGACGCCACCUGGCCUGUGAGUCUGUGCACGGGGGCUUUCCAGGAAAAGUGCUCCAAGACUCAGUACAGCAGGGAUAAGCAGAAGCGUGGUCAAGGAAAGCCAAAGUCAGGGGAAGCCAGAUAUCAGAGUAGUCCAGGAGGAAAGCCAAGGUCAGAAGCCGGAAUCAGACAGGAAAUACUGGAACGCGGAUAUAGCAAGACAGGAACCAAACAAGGGAACCAGAGUCAAUGAACUGACACCCCUCCCAGGGUGAGGCAGGCUUUUAUAUCCUGUUAAUUAGGAUCAGAUUCAGCUGGAGAGUAACUGACAGAUCAGAGCCUAAGUGAAGUCCAGACCCCUAGUGCUGCAGGUAAUACAAGAACAAACAGGAGUUAUCCAAAGUCCUGAAAUGGCUCAGAGGGAAACUAGCAGGACACGGUCCAGAAGGACCACAGUUCAAAUCCCCUAUCGGGCGCUUCCGGAGCGACCACGUCUGGCAGACUGGAUGUCACGGCGUGAACCGUGACAAUUACAAAAGAAAAACAACAAUACAAAAUAUCAUUAUAUGACAUAAUUCUCACUCUUACUAACCCUGAAGCCUCAAUCCCUGUCACUCUUAAAUUUAUAAUAGACUAUUGUAAGAUCUCAAAUUAUAAAAUGAAUUUAAGCAAAUCAUAUGCAAUUUACUUGAAUUUAACUUAUUUAAAUUUGUGUAGACUUAAGAAAAAUAUAACUUUAACUGGGCUUCAAAGACAUUAAAAUAUCUGGGAAUUAAUUUGGGAUUUGAUUGGAACAACAUCAUUACAAAUAAUUAUUCCACUCUCCUUCAAGAAAUACAAAAAUCACUUAUAAAAUGGAAACCUAUGUAUAUUUCAUGGUUGGUUAGAAUAACCUUAAUUAAUGAUUAUUUCACUUCUAAGCUCGAAUAUCUAAUGCGAUCCAUACCCAUAUCUGUUCCAAGAAGGAUUCUUCGGGAAUAUCAUAAUACAUUUCUGAAAUUUGUAUGGGGUCAUAAAAGACCUAGAACCCCAUACAAAAAUUUAACUCAAAAUUUAAGGGAUGGGAGAACAUCAUUUCCAGAUAUCUUUAUGUUACAUGAUGCUAUUAUGAUUACACACUUUAUAGUCUGGAAAUAUAAAAAAAUGGAUCACACCUCUUGGACAGGAAUCGAAAUACAUCCAUAUAAGAAAUUUGAGCCAAUAUGGUUAAUUUGGUUUGAUACCCCUGCUUUCAUAACACUCAAUAUUUCAAACAAAAUACUCAUAGAACAAUAUAGAUUUUUGAAUAAUUAAAAAAAGAAAAGAUAUAAUGUAAGUGAUACUUUAUCUAGUAAGAUAUCAAUAGAUAUAUUAUCAGGAUAUAUCUCUGGAGUAAAACUUGAUAAAUGGAAAGAAGAAGGGUGUAACGGACCGUUUUGCACACAAGGGGUAAAAACCGUUUAGGCGAUCGUCCCCUUUUCAGAGAUGCAGGCACAGCUACUGUAGAACACCAAACUCCUGAACUGCAAAUAAGGGAAUGCUCCAAACUCCCGAACGGCAUACAAUGUAACACUCCAAACUCACGAACUGGAACCAUAUGAAUCGCUGCUAGCAGACGAAUAGGAAAAGCAUCCAAGCGGCUUACACUCCUAGCAAUCAGUCUCUAUCAGCAUUCAGUAAAUCCCCCCAAAGACGAGACAAGGCUCAGUGUUGAGGGUCAAGCAGUGGUCUGUUUAAUGAGGGCUACCUGCCCAGUAUUUAUGCAGGUCUCCCACCUGGUGGACACUCCCCUAGGGGACCAAAUGGGAGACUGUGACAAAAGACAGACAAGUAGACAAAUAGGAUACACAGUCACAUUAUAUUCCCACAAUGCAUCCUGGCUUCCUCCCCUCUGCCCUGGAGAUAAUUGAGAAGUAAUUCAAUUAUCUCCCAGGACAAAGGCAAAUUGCCAUUAUGCAGGUGGGGAUACUAACACAAGAAUUACUAUUAAAAUAUACCAUGCAAGACACAUAACAUUAAAACCAUACAUUUAACCUAUCCCCAGAUAGCUCAGGUCUGAGCGCACAUUAUUAAGCGAAUGGCGCUCAGACCACACAAAUACAGUUUAAUCGCCAUGGAACCAAAGUCUUUACAGAGUCAGUUCUCAUACGAAUGGGCUCCCUGGGAUUCCUAUCUGGGGUAUAACAUAGUCAGGUAAAACUCCCGAACGCCAGGCCGUUCGUGCACUCCCGCCGAACAAGAAGGGAGGUCGGCGGCUUCAGCGGUGUUCGCGCCAAACUGUGUCCGUUUUUAGUUCUAUGAGUUAGGCGCCGAACACCGCUGUGCGUUCGCAUGUUUAAAAUGGCAGCGACCUCGUGUUCGGUAUACAAAUGGCGGCCACCCAGUAAUUGUCAAUUAAGCUGCGGUUAACCGCAGCUUCUGUGAGGCUAAUUGCCGGCACACUCCAGCUCCCAGGUGGUCCAGUCAUUCGUGCGGUUGUUCGGUAGAUUGAAUCUAACGAACACCUGGCAGAAAAGCACGGAUAAGUCUUUUCUGCAGGGGAAACAAAGUCUUUUAACAUGGGGGCCAUAAUCCAAAGGCAGCAGGCGAGCAACCAGGCUUCUCCAAUGCAAUGUGGCGAGAUUGCUCUCGUCACAAAGGGUUUAAUAGUCUAGGAGAUUUUUUUUCUUCCAGGAAACAAGAUUAAGACCUUAAAAGAAAUAUUAGAGAAUAACCCCCCUCUAAAAACAGAAUUCUUAACAUAUUUUAAAAUAAAAAAUAUACUUAGUCAUAAAAGAAUAAAAAAUAGUAUUAUUGAUAACAUCCUCUCAAUAGAGGAAAGAAACAAGACAAUUUCAAGGAUUAAUAGGAUACUAUAUGAACAAAAACCUAAAGAGAAGUUAGAGUAUCAUCAAAUGGGAGCAGGAAAUGGGAUUUGGGCUUUUGGAGGAAGAAUGGGCAAAAACUUUUAAGUUAACAAAAAAUACAAUCCAUAGUAUAUUGCUCUAUGAGAACUUUAUAAAGAUUAUUUUCAGAUGGUAUAUAGUACCUAAUACAAUUGCAAAAUUUCUAAAUAAUGACUAUAAUAGUCAAAAUAAGUGUUGGAGGUGUUAUACUGAUAUUGGUUCACAUAAACAUAUAUGGUGGGAUUGUACAAAAAUUAUCUGUACUAAAAAAUAAAUUAGAAUGCGAAAUAGGAAAAUUGUUGGGUGUAACAUAUACUUUAAGUAUUCAAAGUUUUCUCUUUCACAUAGACUUUCCUAAGAUUAACAAACCAUUACAAAUGCUUUUAAUCCAGAUUCUAAUGUCUACAAAAAUUUGUAUUGCCAGACUUUGGAAGACCCAAGAAACUCCAUGUUGGUCCGAAGUUAAAUUCCAAAUGGAUUUUCAACGAUUAAUGGAGAAAGCAGUAUAUAUAAACUUUGAAAACAUAGACUUGUGUUAUAAAAUUUGGGACCCAUGGGAGAAGUAAACAGAUAUAUCGGGGCCUAGUGAGUGCACGUCUACUCCCCCAACCCUCCCUACCGACAAGUGUGUCUGUCAGUAUAAGUGUGUAAGAUUUUGGUAGUAUAACUGAUGUUAUAGAUCCUACGGACAUUAAAUUUAGAACAAUUCUGUAUAUAUAGUAUAAGAUGAAGGAGUACAGUGAAUAAUAUUGACCGUUAAUAAUAAUAUAAUUUCAUAAUUGAAGGUUAAGGUAUAAAAAUUACAAAUAAUCAUAUUGUAAAAAUUGGAAUUAAUGAAAGUAUUUACACAUGAUAAUUUUGGUAUGUGAAAUUACCUUAGAUGGAAAAGAUACAAAAGGAAUAGAAUACCAAUCUCUGAUGAUCAUUAAUAGCUACCAUCAUGGUAUACCUUUCUUUUCUUUUUUAUCUCCCUAGUUAAGUUCUUGUUAUGCUAUGUUUUCUAUAGUCUGAUCGGAGAAAAUAAUGGCAAUAGAGCCACAAUAGAACCCAAACACCAGCUGGAAGCACCCAAAGUCAAAAACCCUGCAGAGACCCAGUGGUACUCGAAUAAAUGGGACACAGUCUAACCUUUUCCAAUAUAACCAUUGAAAUCUUCAUAGCUUAAUUGGUUCAUAGGUUAAUUGGGUGCAGUGUAAGCCAUGAUUGGUGAAAUAAUGACACUUACUGUUGUAUGUAAAAAAAUUAUUUUCUUUACAUAUCAAUAAAUCAUAUAAUAUGAUAUUCACAUAUCAUAAAUGCUGCUUUGGGAGUGGUAAGGAUACUUUUUCAGCAUUCAUUUUUAUUUUAUAUUAUAUCAUUAUUUUUAAAUGAAAAAAAAGAGCUUCAGGUCUCAAAGUUUGGUUUGCAGAAACAAAAUAAGAACCUAUUGUUUCCUGUGCGCAUAAUUAAUGUUUAAAAAUGUUUCACGUUCUGAUCUCCCUUUCACCAUGCUAAGGAAAUGACUCCGGCUUAUGGCUGGUUUUAACAGGGAUGCUUAUAAGAUAAAAUGUGUAAUGAAUAAUUUUAAUGAGAAUAGUGUACACAAUAUGCCAAAGUCUAUUUAAUCCAAUUCAUUUGUGAAAUAUGGAUGUUUUAUGAGCGGUUUAUAAGCAGUCAUGGUCAUAUUAUCUUGUGUCUAUUUAGCAUUAAUCUUAUGGAAAUACAUACAUGAAACACAUGAAACCUUUCUGCAUGACUGACCUUGACAAUUAGGCUGCAUUUAUCUCAUUUUGUUUUCUGUUUACUUUGAUUUUCCAGUGCCCUCAGACACAGAGGUCUAAUUCGCUAAAUGCCGAAUAUGCUUUUGGAAUUUCGCCUGAUUGCAUUCAACUCAAUUUAUUUAAUUUACAACAGAAUUGUAAUUGAACUGAGCCAAAUGGAUCUCUCCUCUUUUCAAACUGAUCUCAUUGCUGCAGUUAGAUUAAUUUAAAAACAGCUCAACCGAAUUACAGCCAAAAUGAAGCCAAAUUGUAAGUAAUAAAAUAAAAAAUAAAAAUGCCACCAAUGAAGUAGUUAAGUGUGGGGAGAGUUAUGGUUGGGGUUGCCUUAGUGUGUUAAGGUGACCUAGGGUACUAUAAUUGGGCUAUUUGUGAACAGCCGAUUCACUCAUGAUAUAUGGAAAAUUGGCUGAUUUCUACAGACUUUUGAACUGUAACCAAACAGAAGUUGAAAUAACCAAAUUUGCGAAUGGGUUAAAACAGCCGAAUUGUCUGGGUGUGGUGCACGGUCAGAUACGCGAGGCGAUUGACAAAAACCCAUUCCCCGCUGACUGCCCUUGUACACAACCCAGACCUAGCAGACGGACUGAAACCGACUGACUUAGUUGGGUUUCAGGGCUCAGACUGUAAAUAUAUUUACCAAUGGCACAGAAACCUGAAAGCCGUUACGGACUUGAUCACAGACAGACAGCCGACGGCCCUAGAGAGGUUUCGAUACCACCAAAUACACACCUACUACUAGGCGUCAAAGGGUCGCCUACAAUUCCACAAAACAUAUACACAAUUUGAGACUUACUGCACAGCUAGGGAACACUUACACAGAGGGGUCUCAGCCCUAUAUGCCUUACUGAUGAUGGGAGAGGAUGACAGACCUCCGGGAUUCAUAUCCCUAUGGGAAAGGGAAACAGGAGUCACACUAUCAGAGAACGACUGGAAUAAAAUAUACAUACUAACACAUAAAUGCUCACUUGGAGUAAAAUACCAGGAGCUAAGCUACAAGCUCUUAACCCACUGGUACAGGACCCCAGAUGUGCUACACUGAAUAAACCCUGACAACCCCGACACCUGCUGGCGUUGCGGCGAAGAGGCCGGGACUGGUGUGCACAUCUGGUGGUCGUGCUGGUGAUUACCCCCUUAUGGACUAUGGUAAACACAAAAAUAUGUAAAAUCACAGGCACAGACCUCCCUCACCAACCACUUCCUAUGUUCCUGCACCCCACAGACAGCACGGUGUUGACAUACAAAAAACUGCUCACAAUGCACUUACUCAUGGCCACGAAUUCCCUGGCCACUGAAAGCAACCGGGUGCGCCGACCUUUCUGCAAUGGGUGGUGAAAGUUGAGGAGAUACACUCCAUGGAACAUAUGACUGCAGACCUUAGAGGUGGCUCCGACAAGUGUGACCUGAAAUGGUACCCCUGGACCGAGGGGGAGGAAGUGCAGACCUAGACGCUAACAUCAGGUCAUAGUCCUCCGGCAAUGCACAGGAAACAAUGACAUCCCCAACAAGACACCGGGACGGAGCAAACCACGACACUAGAGAGGGGACACUCACAAGCUCUGACCAACAGAACUGAUGUUGUUAACUGAGACAUGGCAUGCAGCGGUGGCAAUGAAAUAUAGAACUAUUACUUGCUCCCCCCCACCUUUUUUUUCUUUCCUUCUCCUUCUCUGAUCUUCUCUUUAUCCCUACCGCACUCUCCCUUCACUUUUUCCCCUGGAGUCGAUAUUCUCCCCUAAUUCACCCCACCCCACCCCUGUCCCGCUGGUAAGACAGCGCAGAAGCAACUCCAGCCCAAAAGCAUGGAGAUAGCCAUGAACCCAAAGUAGAAAACAGCACUCGCAGCACACACAGCCUGAAUCCACCCAAAAACUGAACACAGGAAUGAGGGCUUACGUUUUGGAAGUGGAUAUGUAAAGCUACUGGUUGACUUAAUAACUGUAUGUAAAAUGCUUCUACUUCACUAUUUCACAAUAAGCCAAACUUUCUUGAUGAAAAUACAAAAAUAAAGAUUGUAAAACAAAAAAAACUAAUAGUAUUCAAUUGCUGUUCAGCGUUUAGAGCAGAAGUAGGUAACCUUUUUGUAGUACUGUGCCAAAAGAAGAUUUUAAAGUCCCUUGGCAUGCCAAUCCUAAAUGUAUAAAUUGAGGUGUGUUGCUGUUGCUGUUUUCUGGUUGAGUUAUUUGUGGGUGCUACCGUUAUUUGUAGCAUUGUAUUUGUGCGUAUGUGGGCUGUUAUUGUACAGUAUAAGUUCAUGAGUAGCUUGUGGUAUUGUGGUAUUUUGUAUGAUGCCUAUGAAUGUGGGCUGUGUAUGGCGGGCUGCUUUUGGAAUUUUGUGUGGAUGAUAUGUGCUGGGAUGACUUGAUCUGAGAUCACUUCCUCUAAGUGUUGCAGUGUGUAAAUUGAGGAUUGUCCCUCACCAUUUGUAAUCACCACUCAGUUUGCACCAGGGACUCCUGAGAGGCCAGAGCUUUUUGCCUGUUGCAAAAGCCCCUCGAGUACCAUGCAUGGCACACAUGCCAGAGGUUGUUGACCCUUGGUUUAGAGUUUAGAUACCACAGUGUUUGCAACUCAACAAAGAAAAUACUAAAUAAAAUAAACAAAACACAACUUUUACAUCAAAAUUAGGGGUAUUUACAAAUGCAGUUUAAUUUAGUCAUGGCAAUGUUUUUUUUUUUCUGUAAAUUGUUUAUUCCAACAUUACUUUAGAAAAACACAAUUUUUAGUUAUGUGAGUAAUUUCUUCAGGAUAGAGAAUUCCCAUUAUUGCAAAGGCAUCCGAGAAUAGUCAUCAUAAUUUGGUGUCACUAUACCAAGAACAUUGAGUUUUGGCCAUUUCUUUCAAAUACCAAGAGGUAGCUUAAAAACUUUAUGUUUUGUCAGCGUCUUCCAAUUUUAUUAUACACACUUAAAGGAAUGAUGAAAGUAAAUUGGAUUCAGAUAUUUAUGGCAAAACUCCGGAGGACUAUCCAAGACCUUUUUGGUUUACAAACACAUUAAAGAGUGUGAAUUUAAAAAACAACAACCACAAAACUUUUACACAAUCAAACAAUGUUAAUUGAACAAAACAUAUCUCACUGGCUACUGCAUUUUUCAAUAUAUACUUCAGUUUACACGUCAGGGUUUUGUUUCUAAAUGUUUUUCAUUGUUCUUAAAAGUUUUAAACGCACAAUAUGAUAGGAACUACCAGUGUUCAAAUAUUGCAUCUCUUGUUUUAAUAACAGCAAUAAAAUAUUUUAGAAUUGGUCAGUGCUUUUCAAAUGUGGCAUAGCCACUGGAAAACCAAUUGUUUCAGUUUAAGCUUAAUUAAAAUAUUUAGUUUUGUAAUAAAUAAAACAAAUAAAAUGUUCACUUUCUUGAGGCACUCUGAAAAAAAUACUACUGUAAUAAUAAUAAAACAUUAUUAUUAUAUCUAUAUCAAGGGGACCCUCCAAGCUGUAGAUGACCACGUUUGUUAAAAGAAAAAGAUAAAGGAAAGAAAAAGGGAAAACAGUUUAACUUUUUGCAGCUUAUACACUUGUAGGCUGACCAUUUUAUUUACCAUUAUAUGUGACUAAAACCUCAUUUUCAUCAUAACUUUAAUAUGACAUUGAUAAGUCCUGUUAGAUCUCUAAAUAACAUUGCGCCUCUGAUGGGUACUGAAAAUAUAAUAUACCAUGUGACUGAAGGUUUUGUAAGCUAUGGAUCUUGCCUGAAUUCCCAUCUCGCAAACAAGACUUUGAAAGAGAUUAGUCCUUACGGAGUCAUAAUUCAAUAAAAUCAAUAUAUUUUCAACUGCAUGUAUAGUUAUGAAUGUAUCUAUCAGUCUGUGUUUAAAAAUAAAUAAAUUAUUCUUUAUUUAAAAAAAAAAAAAAUACAGUGUAGCAGUGACAUGUGAUAUAGUUAAAGAUAGAGUAGAUGAUCAGGAGGUAAACAUGACGUAGUGAUAAGCUGCACAUUCUUUCAAUUAUGUAAAGUAAACUAUAUAAACAAAUUGGUCAUUUGUGUCCUGGUAACAGGUGUGUGACAAAAACUCUGUAUUUUAUUCACCCAGUUAAGUUCCCUACGUUCGGUAGAUGGAUCUACCAAACACCGACCACCUCCCUGGCUCAUAAACUUAAAAUAAACCACAAACUCAAGUGCUCUCUUUGUGUGGCCGCUGUUUUCAUAACCAAACAACACGCGCUGGAGAAAACGGUGGCCAUCUUGUCACACAAAAGCAGGCAGCGGGACUUGGUCGUCGAGUGUCUGAAACAAUAAGUCGGACACUCGACCUUGCGAACAUUGGUAAUUUCACACUAAUGCCUGCUUCUUUCCACGACAAGCCAGGAGAGCGCUGUUUGGUAGGAUUGUUCGCACGAACAAGGCGAACAAUCGCUACCUAUGAGCCAGGGAAACCGUUCGUCUUUUUGUUUGUUUUGGAACUCCCAAAAUUGACCGACCACUACCACUGACUCUCUGGAACUAAUUUGAGCAGGCACCACGUGUGCGGUCAGUCAGAACUUUACCUCGGUGGCGAUUUAGCUGUUUUCGGAGGAUCUGAGCGUUAUUAGGAUAUGUUAGGCACUUAGAUCCAGGCUAUCCGGGGAUAUAAUAUUUGCGGGGGUCACUCUAUGUGUUAUAUGUAUUUUGGGGUAAUUUAUGUUUUAUGAUUUGUACCUCCAGUGCCUGGGAGAUGAUUAGUUUAAGUAAAGUACACUAAAUUAUUUCCCAAACACAGAGACGCCUGGGAGUGUCUUGGGCGUGUUUUGGGCAUGUUGUGGGAGUGUCAUACUAUGUCCUUGCUUGAGACCCCAUGCUGUACCCCAUGUUGUACCCUUCAUCAAGUCUCGAGUGAUUUUUGGGUAUGCGAACGACGAACCGAUUGAUUUAUUCUCAGCGUACAAUGUGAACAGGCUAUAAUCAUUAAACCUCUAGCAUUUCGGGAGUGUGCGAACAAAUGUACUUCAUGAAGUACAUGAGGUUGGUUACAAGGUGUAAUAGACUAAUCGUUAGCGCUGGGCACAAAGGUACCAAUCAAGGGUAAACAUAGGUUUAAGAUUUUAAACAAUACACAAGGUUUAAACCACCAAAGAGUGUAGUAAUUGGGCACUAGAUGCACAUCACAGCAGGUUUAACAGGUUAUUGUGCUCAUAAGGAGAGACACUGCAGCAGGGCACUCACUGUGGCAGGAUAUUUAAGGUCCAGCGUCCCUAGGAUGGUAGUCUAUUCAGCCAAUGCCCAUUGCGUUCAGGCAGAAUCCAUGGAGGUGGAGAUGGUAGCUGAAGUCCCCUGUACUGUCAUAUUGUGCGUCUGCCCUUCAGGUCCAGGCUCCAGCAGGUGCUUUCCUCUUCCACCAGCAGAUUUCCCGCUGUGUAUCAAGGGAGGAGGCUUGAUAUCUGGGGGAGAGAUGUUUCCUCCAGGUGCGCGGCCUGUGCUUGGUUACUCGAGCCGGUUUAGUGCUGCGCCGAGGCCGGCAUCUUUAGGCAACAACAUUAGGCUGCAAAUAAUUCAAGAAGUGGAGCGAUAUUUAGGUGACAAGUCCCAUACCACAUGCAUAUGGGGCUUGUCACCUAAAUAUCGCUCCACUUCUUUAAUUUUUUUAGAUGUUUUAAGAUGUGGUGAAGGUUGUCCAUGGAAGUGUUGUAGCUGAAAGAUUAUUAUAAACUUUUCCAAAUCUGGUGAUUAUCAUUUUUAUAUGACAAACUUUUCUGCUCAUUUAAAAAUUCUUAGCGCUCCGAUAUAUUUGAAUCUUUUGUUUCAUUAGGCUGCAAAUGUCGUCCGCAGUUUUGCACAAGCUGUCAGCAAGUCUAAAAGGUGCCCAAGGAUUGCUGUCUGUCUUUUACUUACAUGAAGCUGUCCCUCAUGGCCGCUACCAUGGUCUUCCUGUCAGUCCUCUUCAGCUCCUGUCUUGUCCUCUGCCAGAGCCCAGGUCAGUGCUGUACUCUUGUGUGUGUAUGUAUGAAAGUACAACACUGAGGUCUAUGGAGGAUUCUGUGAGGCCGAAGGACUCCCCAUAGACAAGGCCUUAUUCCCCUAAACUUUCACCUGGGGGAAAUGACAAAACCUGUCAAAAGGUGUGUGAUGAAAGUAACCUCGUCACUGGCUUUUGGAUGGGCCUGGAUGGGCCUGUUUGCCAGCCUCCUACCCUGUGAUUAUGGCCCUGAGACAAACUGAACCUCGUCACGGGUUCUUGGAGGGGCCUGCUGGCCAGCGUCUUGCCUAAGGACUAUGCGCCCUGCAAUAUACCUUGCCCAAUGCACUUUAAAAGGCUCUGUCCAUGGGAAGUAUGUACUUUUGUCCUCCAGACAGAGAGACCGACCGUUAGCCCUAUGUAACGGAUCACCUGGCACCCGUUAGCCCUCAGUUGAAGGAUGCUCCUAGCGCUUACAGAGGGCUCCAAGCGCUCCGCCAGACACCACAACCACCGUAGACCCCACGAACCGCCACAGCUUGGUUGGGGUCUCGCCGUCUCCUACCCACCCUGGACCUAUGAAAAGGCUCCAGGUUCCAGUGGGUGAACCUCUCCUCCAAGAGAGUGAAGCAGGAACAAGCUCUUAAAAGAGCUUAGUAGUGAUUAGCUAAGGGAGCAUGCAGAGCAUAGCAAUCCCUUGUAGUGAUAUAGCAAUUCCCCCAAUAAGAGACUGGCACAUACAGCCUCUUUUAUUCACAUUCUACAAACAUAGUACUGCCCACAGAGUUUUGAAGAACAACCAAUCAACACAUUACAACACAGCUAACACUCCCAUUAAUUACAUCAGAAAUCCUCCCCUCUGCCUGUGAUACAAUUAUCUCAACACAAUAGACUAACUUAAUUAUCACAGGCAGGAAAAUACAGUAUUAUAAAACAUAUCACAGGGACCCCAAAACAUGCAAAAAAACCAUAAAAACCGGAUUCAGAUCCGUUCAGUAGUUUGGAAGAUACGGUUUAAUGCAGAUUCCGCAGAACAUAUACAGGCUAUAUGAAAAAGAAUUACUGUUAAAUGUGUCCCCUGUUCUGUAGUUUAAAACUACUGAACGAUGUCUUUGUGCACCAAAUACCGGCGAGAUGGCACUGUGUAGAAAAGUCAAAACAGUGUCUGUGAGUUAAAAUGGCCGCCAUCCAUUGUUCUCACCAUGUGCUUCAUCCAUUGUUCUCACCAUGUGCCUCUGAUACAUGAAAUGGUGGCCACUCAGUAACUCCACAGUAUGUCCCCAGGUGGUUCUUAAAGGGCCAGCAGCAGCAUAAUAAAAUACAGUAUGCCCAAAUCAGUUCCUUAAAGGGAAAUACAUCCCAGGGCCAUAGUCGCAGGGCAAGAGGCUGGCAAACAAGCCCCUCCAAAAACCAGUGGCGAGGUCACUUUUGCCACACCCUAAUUCUCUGGAACAGUUUUGGGCAUGGGACCAUGUGCACGGUGGGUCAAAAAUAAGACUUCCAGGAAAUUCUUGAACCCCUGAACUGAUCUGGGUGAUUUUUGGAUAUGUUGGUCACCCAGAUCAGGGCUAUCAGGGGAUGUAACAUUUGUGGGGUAUUUUUAGGGUACUUUUGGGGUGUUUUAAAAAAGUAUGUUUUUUCCGUGCUUGGAGAUAAUUGGAUUAGAUUAGUACAGUUCCUGAUUCAAUUAUCUCCAAGGCAGAGGGGAGGGAUCGUGUGUUUGUAAAUAGGAGUGUCAUGCAUUUAUCCAUUGUUGUUAUUGGUCUGUGACUUGGUGCUGGAGUUCCCCACAAGGUGCAGGUAAGAGUGCCCCUUACAUGGGGACUUGCAUAUAAGGCCUGUGGUGGCUGCCAUUGAACAGAAUGCUUUACCCCUUCAUGAAGGCUCAUGUUUCGGGGAUUGGAAAACUACAUUCACUCUAGGGAUUGCUAUAUCACAAUACUCCCCUGAGUAUAAUCACUAGCUCUUCUAAGAGCUGUUCCUGCUACGCACUCUGGAGUAGGAGAGGCCUACACACUGGAAGCUGGAUCCUGGUCUUGGGUCCAGGGUGGGAGGAGGACGGCGAGACCCCAACCAAACUGCGGCUGUUCAUGGGGUUUACGGUGGUUAUGGUGUCUGGUGCGGUGCUUAUGGUACUCACAAGCACUAGGAAGCAGCGAUUGACGGAGGUACCCGGUCAGGGUGCCACGCAGUCCGUCACAAGGUGGAGUUCACACUUUGUCUUGGUUUAUCUUUUGACUGCAUUGGUAUUUCACUGAAAUUCAAACACAGUCAAUGUGAGUAUUUCAUAAAAGUCUAUCUGUCUUUGUUUUCCUUUCUGUUCUUCUAAGGUGAUCAUAGCAACAAUAUAACUGAAACAAAAUAUAAAGUGAUUUUUAUAGUGUAGGUAUAAAAUCAUAGGUCAGUAAACCAAAAUAAAUAUUUAUUGGCAAAUACCUCUAUGCUGUAAAAUGUAAAUACAAUUGAUGUAGGAAUCUUUCCAUCAUUCUGUCUUUAUGUUGUUCUCCUAAAACUGCUGGAGGGGAAUCUGCUGCACCUUUUAAAAGCACAGCUGUGCAUUUAUGGAUAUGAAUACAUCCUUUUACAAAUGUAUUCUGUAAUAUAUUAUAACUGUGCUGAACUUUAGCUUUUAUUCUUCAGCAAUAUUUUAUUUGAUAUUUUAAUGUUAAAGCUCUUGCAUUCUACCCUUAUGUGUCAAAAUUUAAGUAUGAUUAACAGUUUUUUUCCCCUAUCACUCAUUUUAGAAACCAAAGGUACUAAUUUGUUAAUUGCUAAUUAGCCUCACCAAUUUUUCUUUUCUUUUCUUUCCUCCCUGGGAGAGCCUGGUGGUGUGAGCAGGCAAUACCAAGAGGUUCUUCGUAGCAGUCAUUGUCACUCAUACUGUGGAAAAAAUGUGUCCUGCUUUCUGGUGCCUAGCAGAGUUGGAGGCAAAGAAGAUACCAGCCAUGGAUGUUCCUAACUGAGGAUUCUCUUUGUCAUGAUCACACAUGCAUUGUAUCCCAAGAGUGCUAACAUGCAUGCAUCUGCCACAGUCUCUGCACCUCUUAAAGUGCAAGUCCCGCUUUGUUGUGACAGAGCAGAAGGGUGGUAUAGUCGAUUGCUGUUUUCAGUAGACUGUCUUAUACGUGCAUGGACGUUUUCGUGAGGCCUUGCUUCAAGUGACCUUCUGCCCAAGUGAGCAAGUCUUUAGUCAGACUGAUGCUUAGGUGGAUAUGUCGCCCAGAGGGUCCUCACCCCGAAGUUUGCUCUUCUGGUCUUCCUCCCGAGCUUUAGACAGAGUGCCUGUCAUAUGAUUUUCAAGCAUAGCCCAGAAGCACGUCCGUCUCGCUUGAAGGUUUUAGCUCCGCCCCUGAGUCUUUAUCUUUUUAUCUCUUACUGACAUGCCAGGUGCCAUAUCAUAUUUCUGUGUUGAUGCUUCAGAUUCAUCUAUUGCUUAAACAAAGGGCACAACCACAAGUGUAUAUGAAAUUUUUUUUAUUAAAUGGGUCACAGUAAUAGGCUAUCUCAUUAACUGUAUCAAUGAAUGAAAAAGACAUGCAAUGUCAAAUGAAAAGUACAAUGUAACACCUACAAGUUCUACAGUAGCCUAUAGACAGUCUACACAUUGCAUAAAUCACUGAAUACAAGUAUCCAAAAGUAGCUGUAUGAGAUACCCAAAAAUUAUUGUAAACCCAAAAACAAUUAUAAAUAAAAAGAAAAAAACAUACAGUUAAGACAGUGCAUGUAUCUGUGUGUAUCACCUCCCUAGAGGGCGUGGGGAAACACACCUAUACAUAAAAGUCUUAUAUACCGCCAGGAGACUCCAGGAGUCUCAACGGGGCUUAACCCCAAAUAGAAUAUGCCACAAAAAAGAUAGAAAAAAUGCAGACAGG